rnacentral:rRNA from 1 species
UACGUAGGGGGCUAGCGUUGUCCGGAAUCAUUGGGCGUAAAGGGCGCGUAGGCGGCCAUGCGUGUCUUUCGUGAAAUCCCUCGGCUUAACUGAGGACGUGCGGAAGAAACUGCAAGGCUUGAGUCCGGGAGAGGGGGGUGGAAUUCCCAGUGUAGCGGUGAAAUGCGUAGAUAUUGGGAGGAACACCGGUGGCGAAGGCGGCCCCCUGGACCGGUACUGACGCUGAGGCGCGAAAGCGUGGGUAGCAAACGGG